rnacentral:rRNA from 1 species
UACGUAGGGUGCGAGCGUUAAUCGGAAUUACUGGGCGUAAAAGUGUGCGCAGGUGGCCGCGCAAGUCGAGUGUGAAAAUCCCCCGAGCUUAACUUGGGAAUUUGCGCUCGAAACUACGUGGCUAGAGUGUGGCAGAGGGAGGUGGAAUUCCACGUGUAGCGGUGAAAUGCGUAGAGAUGUGGAGGAAACACCAAUGGCGAAGGCAGCCUCCUGGGCCAACACUGACACUCAUGCACGAAAGCGUGGGGAGCAAACAGG